rnacentral:rRNA from 1 species
CACGCAGGCGGCCGGUCAAGUCUGAUGUGAAAGCUCCUGGCUUAACUGGGAGAGGUCGUUGGAAACUGAUCGGCUUGAGGUAGUGAGAGGGGUGCGGAAUUCCCGGUGUAGUGGUGGAAUGCGUAGAUAUCGGGAGGAACACCAGUGGCGAAAGCGGCACCCUGGCACUAUUCUGACGCUCAUGUGCGAAAGCGUGGGGAGCGAACG